UCAGAUGAUUAUAUAAAAGUAUAAUGUGCCCGUGUCACCAACGGAUGAUCGAGAUGGUAUGUCCGGUAUCACUUUAAAUGUUCACAACUCUCAGGAUGGCGUAUUUCUGCCUGCCGCUUAUUUCCUGCUUGACCUUGUGAACUCGUCCGUGUGACCCGGAAAAAUCACUUCCAAUUCUCAUAUUUUAUUUUGAUAUGCCUGGGCUUGUUAUGUAUUACCCAGACAGGAUGUGACAUCACCGGGUCCAAACGUCAGGACGGGCUACCUAGGAUGUCCAGAACCCGUGCUGCUGGAGGAUGCUUCCUCGCAGCGGGGUCCAGUGAAGUGAUGCUCGCUGGAGGAUGUAGGAGUGAACCAAGCAGGCGAGACAGAGGCACAGGAGACUGAAAAUCUCUAUUUCCUCUGCUUCCUGGUUUGAGUAUGACCCCUCACCUGGCUUGUGACCCUUCAACUGGAUAUCACUCCUAAGAGUUGGCUCUGGGGCCGGCUACUCCUGUUGAACCACAGUGUUAGACCAGCACCCUGUCUACAACAUCACAGCCAGUCAACACUGGGGCUGUGACUACUGGCAUGACUGGUACCAGUGUGGCCCAGACUCCUCUCCUCCAUACCCAGACUGUAGCAGCUGAUCCCCCCAUCGCCACCAGGGGCACCUGGCUCCCCUCCCUCCUCUGGCUGGAUCAAUGACUAGAGCCAUCCCAUCCCAGGGACCAGGGGUCAGCAUCAAAAGCCCCCUGCCCACAUCCUUGCCACCUGGUGCUCUCUUUAGGACGAGGGGGUACACUUCCACCCCUCCACCCUCCUCCUGAACAGACCAGGCUGUUUGGACAUGGAGCCAGAACAGGGCCUUCGUGUGAUCUCCCGCGCCCCCUCCCCAGCCGCCCCCCACAGGGAGAGGGCCAGGGGUCAACCCCAUCAGACCACCACACGGCUCACAGAGCCAUUUGAUGAGGGAAUCUGUUUUGGAUUUCAUAAUGCCCGCUGAAUCAUGAUCCUGAGCCCUACUCAACUUGGUUAAAUGUGUAAUCUGUUUGUCAAAAGCUUCAUGUUGUAAAAACAUUUGUUUUCAGGGAUUUAUGGAUGUGAAGUUGACCUGGUCAAUUAAGGUUUGUAGAUGACUGUUUUCCUGAUUUGAACAUACAGUACAUAUACAACAAUACUCACUUGACUUAAUUACUGGUUCAAAUGAACAUAUCAACAACAUACUGUUAGUUAUGAUACUGUUUAUUAGGUCAUUAAGUAAUUGCGGCAUGUAUGACACCAUAUUGACAGUUAUGAUAAUUAAUCUGACAUGUUUCUGACUGAUCACAACAGGCUUCCAUUUCACUAACUCCUACAUAAUAAUGUAUGAUGUGUCACUACCUCACAGAUUCCUACCAAUGAAAAACUGGACAUGCAGUAUAAACAAUAUUCUGCCACUCUUGAAGGACAAUAGAAGUUAAAUAUAUGAGAAUAUGUUGUUAAAAAGAAUACCUUUUUGACAUUGAUGCCUUCGAUCCAGUGUUAGACUUCACUGACUCAUGGAAGUAUUUUAUGGUCAUUAAACUUUGAUACAACAUACCCAA